GUGGAGGGCAAGUCUGGUGCCAGCAGCCGCGGUAAUUCCAGCUCCACUAGCGUAUAUUAAAAUUGUUGCGGUUAAAACGUUCGAAGUUGAUUGUUGUCCAGUACGGGUGUGGCACCGCUUAGUGCGGUUGCUAUCAUUUCCGAUGACUUGGACUAUAUGACUGAACACUAAAUGAAUAGCAUUGAUGCCUUUAACUAMGAUAGAUGUCUAU
rnacentral:rRNA from 1 species